rnacentral:lncRNA from 1 species
GUAAAAUAUUCUAUGUCUGGGUCCCCAAGGGGCCUAUCUGUCAAAUCUCUCUGGCUUGAGAACACUUCAUCUAUCACGUUUACACAGCAAUGAAGGGGGUCUCCUGGUACUGACUUGAUGAGGAGCAAGGUAGCCGGGUUUAGGGUAUUCACAGUCUCUAAAAUUAGUUUGUUAGCUUAUUGAGCCAGUAGGGCAAUGGCAGCUAUUGCUUUAAAACAAGGAGGCCAGUGAAGUGCCACAGAAUCUAAUUGCCUGGAUAAGUAUGUCACUGGGUGAUGCCAUGACCUUAUGGCUUGAGUUAGAACCUUCAUGGCCUCCCUUUCACUUAUGGACAUACAAGAAGAUAAGUUUAGUUAGUUAGAUCUGGCAGUCCUAAAGCUGGGGCCUGAGUCAAGGCUUUUUUUUUUUAAAAUUUCUUUAAAAGUCUUCUCCUGGUUAGCCUCCUAGAGGAGGGGCUCUUUCUUUCCUUCUCUUUGUGGCUUAGCCAUAAGCUAGAAAUUUGGGAUCUAAAUGCAGCAGAACAUUGCUGCCCUUAGGAACUCUCUUAUUUGACACCAGGUGGUUGGAGUAGGAAGUGUACAAACAGAUUGCUUUUGUUUACUACUAAGCCAUCUUUCCUCUUGGCUUAUAUAAAGGCUUAAAUACUGGAGACUUUUAGAGCAGAUUUGAGCUUUUUUCUGACACUUUAUGUCCUGCCUUUCACAGCAGGUGCAGGGAGUCUUGGGUUUCUCCUGGGUGCAGUAGCCCUUGGCUGGAGGGUUUUUUUUUAUACCAUGGCCUUGACCAUUCUCCUUAUUUUAUUUAUUUAUUUUUUGGGGCAUUUAUUCUUCUAGUGUCAUUUACUUUUGCACCGUGCACAUUAAUCUCUCUCUAGCCUUGGCCAGCUUUCAAACUCCUGUCCAAACCAGCCUUUUCCAUGACUGUGUUCACGCCCACGUCCAUGCCUCCUUGCAAAGCCAGCUUCUCUUCCCAUAAGGGCUGCUGCUAGUAAAUUAGCCUUUGUUAAGCCUCUGAUCAGCUUUCUUCUCUGCCUCCUGAACUCAGUUAAUGUACACCUUGUAACCACUUUAAUAAGCUGAGUUGCAUUCACGCCUACGGAGCUUCUAACUUCUGCAAUUUGUGCCUGAUAUCUCCUUGGGCCUGCCUUACAAAUGCUGUGUCCACCAUGCACUGAUUUUCAGCAGCCUUAGGAUUAAACAGAGUGUACAACCAAAAUGCCUCAGAAAGUCUUUCUUAAAACUGGCUGGUGCUUUUAUCUGCACCCUGGAGCACCUCUGAGAUUUUUUAUAUUGGUUGCCUUUUUCUUUUACCAGCCUUUAGCCUUUGCAGAAGGGCUUCUUGGCACUUUUGUAGGUGCCGAAGCUGGACUGCAUCAUCUGGGUCCUAGUGGGUGUCCCCUUGUCCUCUUAAGAGGCGUAAGCAUAACUUGGGCAUGACCAGACCUGAGACACCCUCCCUGACUUUUCCAGCCUUUCACUUUAACUUCCUGGAGCUCUAAUUUCUCCUUCUCAGGUGAGACUGGGAGCCUGUAUCUCUUUGAACUUAAUUCCUUAGGGGCAGUUAGCCUUGGUAAAGGGAGGUAGGUUGGAAUGUAGGGAGGAGGGGUCUCUAUGCCCUCCUGUGGUUCUUGCAAAACUGGUUUUCUCUUUCCUGAGACUUUUCUUUUGUCUCCAUAGUUGCCGGGGCAGCUGAUUUUUACUUUUACUUUUGGCUUUCACUUUUCACUUUUGGUGCUACAAGCCUCUGUGACUUUACCUUUAACUCCGUAGCUGCCAGCGCAGCGAUCAAAGGAAAUGUUCAGGUUAAGAGAAAGGAUUGUGGAAACCAA